rnacentral:rRNA from 1 species
GACGAACGCUGGCGGCGUGCUUAAUACAUGCAAGUCGAGCGAGGUUACUGUUUCGGAUCCCUUCGGGGUGAAGAAGCUUUAACCUAGCGGCGGACGGGUGAGUAACGCGUGGGUAACCUACCCCAAAGUCCGGGAUAACAGCGGGAAACCGCUGCUAAUACCGGAUGUCUUUACCUUGGGGCAUCUUGAGGUAAAGAAAGGUAACGCUUUGGGAUGGGCCCGCGUCCCAUUAGCUAGUUGGUGAGGUAACGGCUCACCAAGGCGACGAUGGGUAGCCGGCCUGAGAGGGUGGACGGCCACACUGGGACUGAGACACGGCCCAGACUCCUACGGGAGGCAGCAGUAGGGAAUAUUGCGCAAUGGACGGAAGUCUGACGCAGCGACGCCGCGUGAGCGAUGAAGGCCUUCGGAUCGUAAAGCUCUGUCCUUGGGGAAGAAGGCGAAAGCUUGACGGUACCCAAGAAGAAAGCCCGGCUAACUACGUG